CAGCCGCCACGGUAAUACGAAGGGUGCAAGCGUUAAUCGGAAUUACUGGGCGUAAGGCGUGCGUAGGCGGUUUGUUAAGUCUGCUGUGAAAUCCCCGGGCUCAACCUGGGAAUGGCAGUGGAUACUGGCAAGCUAGAGUGUGUCAGAGGAUGGUGGAAUUCCCGGUGUAGCGGUGAAAUGCGUAGAGAUCGGGAGGAACAUCAGUGGCGAAGGCGGCCAUCUGGGACAACACUGACGCUGAGGCACGAAAGCGUGGGGAGCAAACAGGAUUAGAUACCCCGGUAGUCCCUGUCUCUUAUAA
rnacentral:rRNA from 1 species